rnacentral:lncRNA from 1 species
UUUGGAAUCACUUUGUAGGAUAACUCUUAACUGUACGUAGCAUGGUCAUGCAUUUCCGAAUCCGAUCACUCGUGGGGCCUAGAGAUAUCACUCUCAAUCAGAGAGGGGCAAAUCCCAUCUUGAUUGGCCAUGCCUCACAGCAUGCUUCUUGACAAACCCGAAAGCUACCUUUUUAACUACCCUGUUACGGUGUAGCGUUUGAUAGCCCCUAAGUAAGUCGAUCCAUAUCUUGAGUACAUGCAACAAUAUCAUGUCUAAGGACAAAGCGUACAUGUUGUGUAAAGAAAGAACUAUUUCUCGUGUUGGGUCAGUCCUAGCAAAUGUCUCUACAUAUGCCUACAUUAUCAGUUUGACAUCUCCAUGCCCAUGACUUGUGAAACAUAGUCAUCAACUAAUACAUGUACUAGUCUAAUAUUCAUGUGUGUCCUCACAUGAACUCUGACUAGGGUCAACUUUAGAAUAACCAUACAAGUAAAGAGUUUCACAUACAAUUCAUAUAAUUGCAAAUCAAUUCAAGUAGUCUUUAAUGGAUAUUCAAGGAACACAAUAUAAAUCAUGGAUACAAAUGGGAUAUCAUCAUCUCUAUGAUUUCCUAUAGGGCAUACCUUCAACAUUAUGUUGUGAGGCUAUGGUUCAAAUUUCGUGAUUUUUGGAGGUCGUUUGAUCGAGUUUCGGAUUUUUCUUUCCUCCUCACGCAGGCUGUUUUUGGAAUUCCAAAAAUCACCUGACCUAAUUUCGGAAAUAUUCGGACCUCCAGAAAUUUCCAAAGGUUUCCCUAGAAAUCUCCGCAUGUCCAAAAUUUUUUGAAGGUUCCUCAGAUUUUUCUGCACAGAGGUGUUGGUUUUCAAAGUUUGUCUUCGGAGCUUGUUUGGAGUCUUUCUUGCUUCUGCUACACUCAAAUUGGAUUCCUAGAAUCAUUCCUAGAUCCAUUAGCUCGUGCAUAGCUAAGUGGACUUGAUUUUACUAGAAGAGAGGCUUGUGGGUUUUUAGCCAAAGUUCUUGGAGAAAAUUUGAAUCGGCUCCCAUUCACCCCCCCCCACGUUUGUUCGCCUUUCCGGUCCUUCAAUUGGUAUCAAAGCCGGUUAAGGUUUCUCCAUACCCUAAUCAGUUUUGAAACCCAUUAUGGCAACCUCUGAGCAUUCUUGCUCGACCGCUGCAACUUACUUUGAUGCCUCUGAUUAUCGGUACUGGAAAACUCGCAUCAGAGCCCAUCUUAAUAGUAAGGGAGCAGGGGUUUGGGAAAUCACUCAGGAUGUGACUUAUGUGAUUCCUGCUACUCGCUUGACUCAGGAAGAAGAGAUAAAUAUCCCGCCAACAACAAGGUGGUGGAUAUCUUGUUUGCAAGUCUGUGCCGUGCUGAGUUUGACCAUGUUGAGGAUCUAUCUCUUGCUCACAUGAGAUUUGGUCCAGACUUCAGAGUUUCCAUGAGGGAAAUAGUCAAGUGAAGGCAAGACUCUAUGAGACUUAUUGGCGGGAGUAUGAAAACUUUGUUCAUUUGCCAAGUGAGUCUGCCGAUGCUUUGUUCCAGCAUUUUCUUGCCAUUGUGAACAAGAUGAAAGCAAACACUACCAACUUGCCCUACACUGAUCAUGAUAGAGCUUUGAAGCUCCUCUAUGCUUUGGAUCAUGAGGUGUGGGGCAUGAAGGUUGAUGCUAUCAUCGAGUCCACAAACUAUGAGACUCUUUCUACUGAUGAGCUCUUUGCCAAGCUGAAGUCAAUGGAGGUUGACAAAAGGCUCCGAGCAAAACAAGGGAGCCCAAUUGAUCCACAUAGUAUGGCUCUCAUGUCAGGCUCUAGACAGCCUAAGUCUUUGGGUAACUCUUCUUCUAUAUCAUUUGCCUUGUCUUCCUUGGUUUCUAUUUCAGAGGAGCAGUUGGAGGUUCUUGAUGAUGAUGAGCUUGCCUUGAUCACACGGCAAUUCAUGCACAUCAAUGACAACCGCAAGAAUAGGUGAAGGACACAAUAGCACUUGCUUCGAUUGUGGCACGCCAGGACACUUCGCCGCCGACUACCCCGACAAGAACAAGUCCAAGAGUGGGUACAACUACAAUAAGCACGAGAACAAGGACGACACCAAGAAGAAGAAGAAGUACACUGAUCGUGAGAAGAAGGAGCAUCGCAAGAAGGCCAAAGCGCGCGCCUUCAUCACCUCCCUCAACGACAUCGACUCCAACACCGACAACUGCACCAACUCAAGCUUGAGUGAGGAGGACGACGACUGCAAGGCGAAAAAGAAGGAUGGCAAGAACUUCAACAACCUCUGCUUCUACUCCGGCAAGAACCACGAUGGGUAUUGCGUCAUGGCUCUCAACACCGACAACAAGAAGGAGGACAAGGAAAGUGACUCCGACACUGAAACAGAGGUAAAGCCUACUCCUGAACAACUCACCUUAGAAGUAGAUGAACUGAAUGCUUGCUUGCUAAAUCAGGAUAAGUUGAUUAAAAAGGCUGCUACAGACAAGUUGAGCUUAAGGAUAAGUUGGAGAGUGCUUUGAUUGAGAUUGACAUGCUUAGAUCUGCUCCUAAUGUUUCUGAUGUUGUUGAGUGUGAUGAGUGUGAUGUUCACAUGUCUAGUAUAUCUUCUUUGCAGUCUAAGCAUGCCUUGCUUGUGGAUGAACUUGAUUUGACUAGAGCUGUGUUAGAUGAAGUGAAAUCUAGACCUGUUUUGCUCGGUGCUUGCAAAUCUUGCCCUGCUUUACAAAGUCAGCUAGAUGAUGCUUGUGCUAAGGUUAGUGCUUUGGAGAAGUAUGCUUUUAUUGCUAGAUCUAAAGUUCCUAAAUGUACUGAUUGUCCUGAACUUCAGCUGAAUUUGCAAAAAAUUGAGGAUGAAAACUACUGCUUGCGCACCAUUCUUAGUUAGGUGUCUAGUAGGGAACCUCAGUUAGGCAAGAUGAUUCAGAAGUUUAAACGAGCUGAUGGUUUUGGGCUUGGGUAUAUGAUUAAUGGGUGUCUCUUUGAUGGAUUGUAUAAGAUUUUUGAUGAAUUGUGUGAGAAGGUGGGUCAAGCAGUUCUGAGAACAGUGGUGAGAGAAAGAAACUAGUUAGCUACAACCGAUGUGAGCCACCAACAGAUUACACCCCUCGAGAGUCACCUAAACAAAGUGGAGAGAAACUCAACCCAGAGUGUGAGGAAAACCUGGUUGGGUGUGUCAAGGAUGGUUUGGUUGUUGAUGUUGGGAUAAGAGGUAGGCUACGCUAGCGCAAAUCAAAUUUUUCUACCACGUAAAUCAGGAAAACUGCCGUAUAUAGAUCACGGGAUUACCACUCGACACACUAGUGCGAAAGAUGUAGAAUCACGUCGAGGCAGCGAAGUCAAUCAGCGUAGUCAAUCACGUCAACAUCCAGCAGCUCCUCAGCAGCUCAUCCAAGUGCAGCAAGAUUGUCCUUGGGCCGCGGCUCGUCAUGGCUCGUCAGCGGCUCGUCGUGGCUCGUCGGCGGCUCGUCCAAGUGCUGUAGGCGCAACACCUCCAAGGUAUCCACACGUGCAGGGAGAAGUGUCGCAAGCCGGACUGCUAGGUCCGCGAGUUGCAACAGGCGAGGGCGUGGGAGGCGCGACAGAUGUGUUUAACCAAAAAGGUGUAAACCCUAGGAGGCCCCCACCCCUCUAGCAAGACGUGCCAACUCCUAUACGCACACGAAGAUCAUAUCAGACGAACUGUCACAACAUCAUGUACAUGCUAUUCCCUUUGCCUCACGAUAUUUAGUCUAGCUUCAAGCCGACCACUCUUUCUCGAUCCUAUGAUUUGGAAUCCCUUUGUAGGUUAACUCUUAACCAUACGUAGCAUGGCCAUGCAAUUUCGGAUCCGAUCACUCGAGGGGCCCAGAGAUAUCACUCUCAAUCAGAGAGGGGCAAAUCCCAUCUUGAUUAACCAUGUCUCACAGCAUGCUUCUUGACAAACCCGAAAGCUACCUUUUUAACUACCCUGUUACGGUGUAGCAUUUGAUAGCCCCUAAAUAAGUCGAUUCACAUCUUGAGUACAUGCGACAAUCUCAAGUCUAAGGACAAAGCGUACAUAUUGUGUAAAUAGAGAACUACUUCUUAUGUUGGGUUAGUCCUAGCACAUAUCUCUACAUAUGCCUACAUUAUUAGUUUGACAUGUACUAGUCCAAUAUUUAUGUGUGCCCUCACAUGAACUCCGACUAGGGACAACUUUAGAAUAACCAUACAAGUAAAGAGUUUCACAUACAAUUCACAUAAUUGCAAAUCAAUUCAAGUAGCCUUUAAUGGAUAUUCAAUGAACACAAUAUACAAAUCAUGGAUACAAUCAGAUAUCAUCAUCUCUAUGAUUGCCUCUAGGGCAUACCUCCAACAGUCUCCCAC